rnacentral:rRNA from 1 species
UACGUAGGGUGCGAGCGUUAAUCGGAAUUACUGGGCGUAAAGCGUGCGCAGGCGGUUCUGAAAGACAGUUGUGAAAUCCCCGGGCUCAACCUGGGAACUGCAUCUGUGACUGCAUCGCUGGAGUGCGGCAGAGGGGGAUGGAAUUCCGCGUGUAGCAGUGAAAUGCGUAGAUAUGCGGAGGAACACCGAUGGCGAAGGCAAUCCCCUGGGCCUGCACUGACGCUCAUGCACGAAAGCGUGGGGAGCAAACAGG